GGGGACUACGAGCAUAAGCUUAAAACCCAAAGGACUUGGCGGUGCUUUAGACCCCCCUAGAGGAGCCUGUUCUAGAACCGAUAACCCCCGUUCAACCUCACCUUUUCUUGCCUAUCCCGCCUAUAUACCGCCGUCGUCAGCAUACCCUGUGAAGGAACCAUAGUAAGCAAAACUGGUAAAACCCCAAACGUCAGGUCGAGGUGUAGCACACGAAAAGGAAAGAAAUGGGCUACAUUUCCUACCUCAGGAAACACGAAUUGUGCUAUGAAACAACAUAUGAAGGAGGAUUUAGCAGUAAGUGGAAAACAGAGCGUUCCACUGAACCCGGCCCUGAAGCGCGCACACACCGCCCGUCACUCUCCCCAGGCCCAAAACCAAUAGUACUUAAAAACAUACUAAGGCAAAGGGGAGGCAAGUCGUAACAUGGUAAGUGUACCGGAAAGUGCACUUGGAAAAU
rnacentral:rRNA from 1 species